CCUACGGGUGGCAGCAGUGGGGAAUAUUGCACAAUGGGGGAAACCCUGAUGCAGCGACGCCGCGUGAGUGAAGAAGUAUUUCGGUAUGUAAAGCUCUAUCAGCAGGGAAGAAAAUGACGGUACCUGAGUAAGAAGCCCCGGCUAACUACGUGCCAGCAGCCGCGGUAAUACGUAGGGGGCAAGCGUUAUCCGGAUUUACUGGGUGUAAAGGGAGCGUAGACGGCGGUGAAAGUCUGGAGUGAAAGGCGGGGGCUCAACCCCCGGACUGCUUUGGAAACUGUAUGGCUGGAGUGCAGGAGAGGUAAGUGGAAUUCCUAGGGUAGCGGUGAAAUGCGUAGAUAUUAGGAGGAACACCAGUGGCGAAGGCGGCUUACUGGACUGUAACUGACGUUGAGGCUCGAAAGCGUGGGGAGCAAACAGGAUUAGAUACCCGAGUAGUC
rnacentral:rRNA from 1 species